rnacentral:rRNA from 1 species
UACGUAGGCAGCAAGCGUUGUUCGGAAUUACUGGGCGUAAAGAGUGUGUAGGCGGUGCUCUAAGUUCGGUGUGAAAUCUCCCGGCUCAACUGGGAGGGUGCGCCGGAAACUGGAAUGCUUGAGCGUGGGAGAGGAAAGCGGAAUUCCUGGUGUAGCGGUGAAAUGCGUAGAUAUCAGGAGGAACACCUGCGGUGUAGACGGCUUUCUGGACCAUUACUGACGCUGAUGCACGAAAGCUAGGGGAGCAAACAGG